AAAAAAUCCGCUUUUAUUUUUUUAAAAAAAAGAACAUAACCAAUUUUCUUCCCCCCUUUUCCUUUUCCUUUCAUUAUUAAACUUGCACUCACACAUAACCCACAUGAAUCCCUUCCAAUGCGACUCCUUUCAUCCUUCCACGCGAAACCCACAACCUGACCAAGCAUCUUGCUAACACCUUCUGACCCCCCUCCUUGUCCACUUCCAGCAAUCGAUGGUCUCAAAUGCGCUCUUUGCGGAGAGAGAAGAUCGAAGACUCACUGAGUUCAGAGUAGGUUUUGGAGGCAACGACAAUGCUUUACCAGAAACGUCCACUCGAUUAUCCUUUGUCGUUUGAUCACUCUACUUUGCUCCGGCAGCUGACCUCCGGUAAGAAGAAUCGGAACGCCUUGUCGUGGAGUUUGAGUUCUCGAGCUCGCUCUCUCACUGACCCUUUCCUUCAACCUCAGCAGCUUGUUAAUCAGGUUGAUUGAGUUUUGAAUUUGAUUCUGUGACUGUGAUUGGUAUGGAUGAUCGAGGAUUCGAUGUUUGAUUGUUGACGGAUGAGUGUUGAAUGAAAUUUUUGUGUUGUGCAUUGUGAAAUUGUGUUAUGGACUAUUCGGGUUUGGGUCUUUCGAAAGGAUUGCAUGGUUAAAUUCCUGACAUUGAUCAACUAGUUGAGGAUGUUAUAAAACAAUACAAGAAGUUUAAAGGUUUGUUGGUGGGUUGAUACUAACUGUGUAUGCGGAUAAUUACUCUUACCAUCAUUUCUGAAUCCUUUUUUAUUACCGGAUCUUUUAUUUCAACUCGCAGGUAGACUAGAAUUGAAAGGAUUGCCUCAUUUCAUAUUCGGACAGUCCAUGGGGGAAGCUAUUACUUUGAUAAUGUACUUGAAAGAACCAAAGCUAUGGGAUGGAGUGGUUCUUGUGGCUCUCAUGUGUAAAAGUGCAGACGAUGUGAAACCGCCAAAACCAGUUGUUAAGGUCUUAAAUCUAAUGUCUAAUGUUGUGCCAAAAGCCAAGCAUCUCCCAAAGGUCGAUCUUGGUGAACUAGCUCUCAGAGAAAUGAAGAAAAGGAAACUGAAGCUUGAGACGGCAUUGAACCUAUUUGAUCAACUUGUUUAUAAACUUUGUACGGCAUUGAACCAGUGUCAAAGAAGGAUCAGAAUUACGAAGCCACAAGACUACAGUUUGAAAAUCUUGUUUUGAGAUAUGGGAAUCCAAUAAUUAUAUUGAAUUUGAUUAAGGUUCAAGUUUGACGUGUAAGGCUAAAUUUUGAUUCUUGGGGAUUUGGAAGGAAGAUAGGAAGAUUGCAUUUGACAUGUUUUAAGAAGGUUGACAAGUGGAGAAAGUGCACCCAACACAAAAAUGACUUCAUAACGAUAUUAAUAACAAGUACAAGGAAGCGAUUUGGAUCAAAUCUGUGGUAGAUGGUGGAGAGAACAUAAUGAAGGAGCAAUUGAAUGACUACUUGGAAAACAUUAUAUAAUGGCAACAAGUGUGUGUGCACUUUUUUACGCUUAUGAGUUUUGGUAAUUUGUUGAUUACCUUGGUUUUAGAGUUAAAUUAUCAUCCAAUUCCUCUUUUAUGACUUAUUAUUAUGAAUUUGUGAAUGCA